UACGUAGGGGGCAAGCGUUGUCCGGAUUUAUUGGGCGUAAAGGGUGUGUAGGUGGCGCGCUAAGUCGGGUGUGAAAUUUCGGAGCUUAACUCCGAAACUGCAUUCGAUACUGGCGUGCUUGAGGACUGGAGAGGAGACUGGAAUUCAUGGUGUAGCAGUGAAAUGCGUAGAGAUCAUGAGGAAGACCAGUGGCGAAGGCGGGUCUCUGGACAGUUCCUGACGCUGGGGCACGAAGGUCAGGGGAGCAAACGGG
rnacentral:rRNA from 1 species